rnacentral:rRNA from 1 species
UGGUGCAUUUACUCUGAUGAGUACCCCAACUUUACUUCUUCCGGAUUGAGCAGUGACGUUGCCCCAUUGGGAACGGCACUGCGUACAAGUCAUGCCUGAUGACCAUAGCAAGUCGGUCCCACCCCUUCCCAUCCCGAACAGGACCGUGAAACGACUUUGCGCCGAUGAUAGUGCUGCAACCAGUGUGAAAGUAGGUUAUCGUCAGGC